AAUGCAUACUGGGAAAAUAUAUAUAACUAAUGUUUAACUAAAAUACAAGUAUACUAUAUCUAAAUACAUAAAUUUCUGCCAUUUUAUUUCAUCUUUAAGGCGUACAUCAAAAUGAUUCAAAGUGGUGUACCUGAUAUUGGAAUACAAAGAAGAGGAAGAUCAGUAUGAAGCAAUAGUAGCAUACACUCAGUAACAACAGUUCAACAACACGGGAGUAGCCCAGUUACAGCGGGAAUGCAGAAGACCCGGGAAAUUGCAACCAAGCAGAAAAACCAGGAAUUUCUAAACCAACCGAAAACCAAUAGUAAACCCAAGCAACACUACUUGAACGCCACUAGUAUUAGAAAACAAGUACAGAUCAACAGAAAAAUAAUCAGUUGCCAAAAAUAGUCACUUCUGAUUUUUAACACUCAAGAAAAGAAGCUUGAAGCUUCAACGAACAGUAACAAUUGAUGCUGAUUUUUAACAGCAAAGAAAAGAAACAGAUUUUUUUUUUCGACUUCUAACUUUCGAACUCUCUCUAAUUCUUAAGAUUCAAAAUCUUUUUAUCUCCUCUCAAAUUCUGAAAUUUUUUGUUCUCUCAAUUCCCGUCCCCUAAUAAGUGUAAAAUGAGUCCUAUUACAUACCCAAGAGGCAAGACUCUUUCCCCUAUCCUUUUAACAGUUAUUACUACCCUUUUAUUAUUACC
rnacentral:lncRNA from 1 species